rnacentral:rRNA from 1 species
AGUCAAUAGAUACCCAGGUAGUCCACGCCCUAAACGAUGUCUACUAGUUGUUGGUGGAGUAAAAUCCAUUAGUAAACGCAGCUAAACGCGUGAAGUAGACCGCCUGGGGAGUACGGUCGCAAGAUUAAAACUCAGAGGAAUUGACGGGGGCCCGCACAAGCGGUGGAUUAUGUGGAUUAAUUCGAUGCAACGCGAAACCUUACCUGGCCUUGACAUGCCACUAACGAAGCAGAGAUGCAUUAGGUGCCCGAAAGGGAAAGUGGACACAGGUGCUGCAUGGCUGUCGUCAGCUCGUGUCGUGAGAUGUUGGGUUAAGUCCCGCAACGAGCGCAACCCUUGCCAAUAAUUGCCAUCAUUCAGUUGGGCACUUUAUUGGGACUGCCGGUGACAAACCGGAGGAAGGUGGGGAUGACGUCAAGUCCUCAUGGCCCUUAUGGCCAGGGCUUCACACGUAAUACAAUAGUCGGUACAGAGGGUUGCCAACCCGCGAGGGGAGCCAAUCCCAGAAAGCCGAUCGUAGUCCGGAUUGCAGUCU